GAAAGACCCCGUGCACCUUUACUACAGCUUCACACUGGCAUUAGGCCGAACAUGUGCAGGAUAGGUGGUAGGCUUUGAAGCAGGGACGCUAGUCCCUGUGGAGCCUCCCUUGAGAUACCACCCUUGUUCUGCUUGAUGUCUAACCGCGGACCGUUAUCCGGUUCCGGGACCCUGUGUGGCGGGUAGUUUGACUGGGGCGGUCGCCUCCUAAAGAGUAACGGAGGCGCGCGAAGGUUGGCUCAGAGCGGUCGGAAAUCGCUCGUUGAGUGCAAUGGCAAAAGCCAGCCUGACUGCAAGACUGACAAGUCGAGCAGAGACGAAAGUCGGCCAUAGUGAUCCGGUGGUCCCGAGUGGAAGGGCCAUCGCUCAACGGAUAAAAGGUACUCCGGGG
rnacentral:rRNA from 1 species